rnacentral:rRNA from 1 species
UACGUAGGGUGCGAGCGUUGUCCGGAAUUAUUGGGCGUAAAGGGCUCGUAGGCGGUUUGUCGCGUCGGGAGUGAAAACCAUGGGCUUAACUCAUGGCUUGCUUCCGAUACGGGCAGACUAGAGGUAUGCAGGGGAGAACGGAAUUCCUGGUGUAGCGGUGAAAUGCGCAGAUAUCAGGAGGAACACCGGUGGCGAAGGCGGUUCUCUGGGCAUUACCUGACGCUGAGGAGCGAAAGCGUGGGGAGCAAACAGG